GGUGGCUUAGUGGUAAAGUGCUUGUCUUGCAUGCAUGAGGCCCUGGGUUCGAUUCCUCAGCACCA
rnacentral:tRNA from 1 species